rnacentral:tRNA from 1 species
GCCCGGUUAGCUCAGUCGGUAGAGCAUCAGACUUUUAAUCUGAGGGUCAAGGGUUCAAGUCCCUUCUUGGGCG